UUCAGUGUUUAUUUGUUGCUUUGAAUUGUAUUCAGAGCUACAAAAUUUCGACAAUGACUUCAAGAAAGCUUUGCAACAAUGGAUUAAAACACGCAAAGCAACAUAUGAUAUUAUUUUUCAUUUUAUUCGGCGUACUUUGUGGAUUUUUACUUGGUUCUUUAUUACAUGGCAAUGUUCAGUCGUCCAUAGAUCCAACACCGAAGGAAUUUGCAAUGUACGUUUCGUUUCUUAGUGAGAUUUGGGUGAAAGCUUUCAGUCUUUUGGUUCUUCGUUCGAUCGUAUCCAGCUUGCUUUUGGCAGUCGCUGAAUUGGAGUCAAAACAAAGCGGAAAAUUGUGAAGAAGAACAUUGCUGUAUUGUCUUAUGACUACAAUGUUUGGGAGUAGUUUGUUUAUUUGCAUUUAACCUGGAAAUGUUAACGUGAAAGAACAAGAACCAAACGAAGAAAACCUUGAACCAAUACCUUCUGUGCUUGACGUAAUUUGGCAACUUUAUUUAUUGUAACGUAAAUGCUACGUUCGCAAAACUGUGCAACUGUACGAGAUUUUUGAGCGCAUACGGUAAUCGCGUUAUCGAAAUAUUCACUUGAUUAUUAAUCUUCUAUUUGUGACAAACUUGCCUUAAGUACUAGAGGUGGCUAUGACUUUUUAUACAUUAUUAUAUUCAUAUUUGACACUUUUUUUACUAUGCCAUACGAACCACAUCUACCAAAGUGAUAAACACCACAAGAUCGUAAUGCUAUGUUGUAGAAUAUCCGUCCACUCACUAUCUACUUAUAUAAUAUACCUUGUUCUUUAUACUUUGUUCUUUAUUUUCACCAUUAAAUGACACUAAAUGAUA